UACGAAGGGGGCUAGCGUUGCUCGGAAUCACUGGGCGUAAAGGGCGCGUAGGCGGCUUUCUAAGUCGGGGGUGAAAUCCUGGAGCUCAACUCCAGAACUGCCUUUGAUACUGAGGAUCUUGAGUUCGGGAGAGGUGAGUGGAACUGCGAGUGUAGAGGUGAAAUUCGUAGAUAUUCGCAAGAACACCAGUGGCGAAGGCGGCUCACUGGCCCGAUACUGACGCUGAGGCACGAAAGCGUGGGGAGCAAACAGG
rnacentral:rRNA from 1 species